UACGAGGGGUCCAAGCGUUGUUCGGAAUCACUGGGCGUAAAGCGGGUGUAGGUGGCUAGGCAAGUUAGGUGUGAAAGCCCCGGGCUCAACCCGGGAAGUGCACCUAAAACUACUUAGCUUGAGUAAGGAAGAGGAUGGGAGAAUUCCCGGUGUAGCGGUGAAAUGCGCAGAUAUCGGGAGGAACACCGGUGGCGAAGGCGGUUCUCUGGGCCUUACCUGACGCUGAGGAGCGAAAGCGUGGGGAGCGAACAGG
rnacentral:rRNA from 1 species